rnacentral:lncRNA from 1 species
CCGCUGGUUGUGGGCUUUCUGCGGCCGCUGAGGGCGCGUCUCCCCUCCGCCAUGGUGGCGGCAUUGCGCGCUCCUGAAAUUCACGUACGGCGGUGCAGUAUAGGCCCGCUCCAGAGGCUCAGGACUAGGCUGUCACCUCCCACACCCACUGCCCAGGCGACGGGGACGCCGCCGUUCGUCGAGGAGCUGCUUCGCAGGCUGUUAGGGCUUAACUGUUGUCCUCCCACGCCUCGGGGGGAACAAAAGUGGCCUGAUUAGCCAGAAAUGGAGGUCACAGCUGCCUUUUGAAAAGGGCUAAUAAGAACGAUUCGAGCCAAGGACGCAAGUCAGGAAGACAUCCUCAUGUCUUAUGUCUGCCUUGGUGCGAAUUCUUGUCUUAGCAAAUUCAAAAUUUAUCCUUCUGUGUUUUGUUUUGUUUCCAUCAAUCGCUUAAAAGCCUUGGCAAGGCCUUUAAUUCCUGCUCUGAAAUGCUAGAGUCCCGGAAAUGCAAAAGCAAGUACGUUUUUGUUGACCUGGUGGCGGUAGAGGCGUCGUCAUUGAAAAUAAACAACUGAUUUUGAGAAAAUCAAUAUAAACAAA